rnacentral:misc_RNA from 1 species
GAUGAAGAACGUAGCGAAAUGCGAUAAGUAAUGUGAAUUGCAGAAUUCAGUGAAUCAUCGAAUCUUUGAACGCACCUUGCGCUCUUUGGUAUUCCGAAGAGCAUGCCUGUUUGAGUGUCAUGAAAUAUCAACCUUGACUUGGGUUUUGUGCUCUAGUCUCGGCUUGGAAUUGGGUGCUUGCCGCUUUUACGAGCGGCUCACCUUAAAUGUAUUAGCUGGAUCUGUCUUUGAGACUUGGUUUGACUUGGCGUAAUAAGUAUUUCGCUAAGGACAUUCUUCGGAGUGGCCUCGUUUCUAGGACGCUUGUCCGCUUUCCAAUACAAGUUCCACCUCGUGGACAUGACUUUUUAUUAUCUGGCCUCAAAUCAGGUAGGACUACCCGCUGAACUUAAGCAUAUCAAUAAGCGGAGGA